GACGAACGCUGGCGGCGUGCUUAAUACAUGCAAGUCGAACGGAAAGGCCCUGCUUUUGUGGGGUGCCCGAGUGGCGAUCGCGUGCGUAACACGUGAGUAUCCUGCCCUUGACUUUGGGAUAACUUCAGGUAACUGGGGCUACUACCGGAUAGCAGCUCCUGCUGCAUGGUGGGCGUUGGAAAGUCUCGGCGGUUGCGGAUGGACUCGCGGCUUAUCGGCUUGUUGGUGGGGUAGUGGCUUACCCAGGCUUUGACGGGUAGCCGGCCUGUGAGGGUGAACGGCGACAUUGGGACUGAGAGACGGCCCAGAGUGCUAUGGGAGGCAACGGUGGGGAAUAUGGCACAAUGAGCGGAAGCCGGAGGCAGCGGCGCCGCGGGCGGGAUGACGGCCUUCGGGGUGAAAAACGCUGUCGCCUGUGACGAAGCGGGAGUGACGGUAAUGAGUAAAGAAGCACCGGCUAACUACGUG
rnacentral:rRNA from 1 species